AGUGAACGCUGGCGGUAGGCCUAACACAUGCAAGUCGAACGGCAGCACAGUAAGAGCUUGCUCUUACGGGUGGCGAGUGGCGGACGGGUGAGGAAUACAUCGGAAUCUACUUUUUCGUGGGGGAUAACGUAGGGAAACUUACGCUAAUACCGCAUACGACCUACGGGUGAAAGCAGGGGAUCUUCGGACCUUGCGCGAUUGAAUGAGCCGAUGUCGGAUUAGCUAGUUGGCGGGGUAAAGGCCCACCAAGGCGACGAUCCGUAGCUGGUCUGAGAGGAUGAUCAGCCACACUGGAACUGAGACACGGUCCAGACUCCUACGGGAGGCAGCAGUGGGGAAUAUUGGACAAUGGGCGCAAGCCUGAUCCAGCCAUACCGCGUGGGUGAGGAAGGCCUUCGGGUUGCAAAGCCCUUUUGUUGGGAAAGAAAAGCAGCAGGUUAAUACCCCGCUGUUCUGACGGUACCCAAAGAAUAAGCACCGGCUAACUUCGUG
rnacentral:rRNA from 1 species